rnacentral:rRNA from 1 species
AUUGAACGCUGGCGGCAGGCCUAACACAUGCAAGUCGAGCGGUUGAAGGGAUCUUUCUCCUGGAUUCAGCGGCGGACGGGUGAGUAAUGCCUAUGAAUCUUCCUGGUAGUGGGGGAUAACGUCCGUAAACGGGCGCUAAUACCGCCUACGUCCUGAGGGAGUAAGUGGGGGUUCUUCUGACCUCACGCUAUCAGAUGAUCCUAGGUCGGAUUAGCUAGUUGUUGGUGUAAAGGCCUACCAAGGCGACGAUCCGUAACUGGUCUGAGAGGAUGAUCAGUCACACUGGAACUGAGAAACGGUCAAGACUCCUACGGGAGGCAGAAGUGGGGAAUAUUGGACAAGGGGCGAAAGCCUGAUCCAGACAUGCCGCGUGUGUGAAGAAGGUCUUCGGAUGGUAAAGCACUUUAAGUUGGGAGGAAGGGCAGUAAGUUAAUAACUUGCUGUUGUGACGUUACCAACAGAAUAAGCACCGGCUAACUUCGUG